UACGUAGGGUGCAAGCGUUAAUCGGAAUUACUGGGCGUAAAGCGUGCGCAGGCGGUUUUGUAAGACUGUCGUGAAAUCCCCGGGCUCAACCUGGGAAUGGCGAUGGUGACUGCAAGGCUAGAGUUUGGCAGAGGGGGGUAGAAUUCCACGUGUAGCAGUGAAAUGCGUAGAUAUGUGGAGGAACACCUAUGGCGAAGGCAGCCCCCUGGGUCAAAACUGACGCUCAUGCACGAAAGCGUGGGGAGCAAACAGG
rnacentral:rRNA from 1 species